GACGAACGCUGGCGGCGUGCUUAACACAUCAGCAAUUGAUUGGUGGCGGACGGGGAAGUAACGCGUCAAGAACUUGCCUUACAGCUAGGGAAAAAAUUUGGAAAAGAAUGCUAAUACCUAAAACUUGGAGAGAGCUUUGCGUCCCAUUAGCUAGUUGGUGAGGUAACGGCUCACCAAGGCGAUGAUGGGUAGCCGGCCUGUGAGGGUGAUCGGCCACAAGGGGACUGAGACACGGCCCUUACUCCUACGGGAGGCAGCAGUGGGGAAUAUUGGACAAUGGACCAAAGUCUGAUCCAGCAAUUCUGUGUGCACGAUGAAGUUUUCGGAAUGUAAAGUGCUUUCAGUUGGGAAGCGGUACCAACAGAAGAAGUGACGGCUAAAUACGUGCCAGCAGCCGCGGUAAUUC
rnacentral:rRNA from 1 species